AUUUAUAAUUUUUCACGAGGAAAGUAGGAGCAGAAGCCAGUCUAAAAACCGAACAGAAACACCGGUUCGUUACUUCGCCACUGCUCCGCCACUUCUAUUUCUCGUCCCAGCGGCGGAGACAUGCGUGCCACCAUCAUCUUUUCACAACUCUCUCUUCUGAAGCGACUAUCUCACUACUUCAAUGCGACCCUCUCUUUCACGUCGGAGGCUUGGCCGUCUGCAGACGAUCCCGACGACGGAUUCCCAUACUCCGACGUGCCGUAUCCUAGCCGGAUAAAGUCUGAGAGGAAACCGUACGUGACACCAAUGAAGGUUCUGAUUGCGAGGGCGAAGGCAGAAAGAGAAGCACGAAAGGCACAACCUUGUAGGGUUUUGGAAGAGCCUCCUGAGAACGGGUUGCUUGUACCGGAGCUUGUUGAGGUUGCUCAUCGUGUUUAUCGAGCUCGAGGGUUUCUACUAUCCGGUUUGCGUCAACUCGUCCGAGUCAUUCCCAUUUUGCGCUGCGAGCUGUGUAAUGAGGUUCACAUUGGUUAUGUGGGUCAUGAAAUUCGAACAUGUACUGGACCAAACAGUUUCUCGCGAAAUGCAACUCAUGUUUGGAGAAGAGGAGGUAUUCGAGAUGUCGUUUGUUUCCCCAAAUGCUUUCAUCUCUAUGACCGUGUUGGCAAGCCAAGAGUUGGACAUGAUGAGAGGUUUAGCGUUCCUCGUAUCCCUGCCAUAGUUGAACUCUGUAUACAAGCGGGUCUAGACCUUGAAAAAUAUCCGACAAAGAGGAGAACCAAACCUGUCUAUUGUAUUGAAGGAAGAAUUGCGGAUUUCGAAUCUGUUGUGGAAGAGGAUGAAAGUGAAAGAAAACCUUCUUUAGAAAAUUUCAAUCCUUUAAUGGAUCCAUCCUCUAUGUUGAUAGAGCCUGUAGAGAAUAUAAGCCAUAUCGAUGAGCUGAAGGAUGAAGAAAGGAACAAAUUAAGGAUUUUAAGUGAACAUACAUUGAACUCAUGGUUUGAGAUGACAUCAGGUGCAAAGAAGAUAAUGGAGAAGUAUGUUGUGAAUACUUGUGGUUAUUGUCCUGAAGUUCAGGUUGGUCCUAAGGGACAUAAGUUAAGAAUGUGCAAGGCUUCAAAGCAUCAGUCUCGGAACGGUUUGCAUGCAUGGCAAGAGGCAAUAUUAGAUGAUCUUGUUGGUCCGAAUUAUGUCUGGCAUGUUGAGGAUCUGAAUGGACCUGCUCUGAAUAACAAUCUGAAGAGAUAUUAUGGCAAGGCUCCCGCUGUGGUUGAACUCUGUGUGCAUGCUGGUGCUCCCGUUCCUGAUCAAUAUAGGAGCAUGAUGAGACUAGACGUGGUUUCCCCAGAACGAGAUGAAGUUGACCUUGUUGCUUGAAAUGCCUUCUUCCCUUUUUGAAGAUGGGGAAUAUACAUUUAACGGACAUUCGGAGUUCUUAUCGAUAAAAUUAUCAACUUUUGAGUUUGAUCAAAUCUGAACUUUGGUGCCCUGUGCUAGUUUUCUGCUGUCUGACUAUAGGCUGUAUGGUCAUCUCUCACACAUUCUGAAUAUAGUUGCCAACCUUAUAUUAUCUUCAGAAAGGACACAUAGAUUGAAGAAUUAUAGCAAGUAUUGCAUUUUCGUAUUGGGCUGCAUUGAGCUCAAACUGUACAGUUUCUUGUGGGAUAAUGCAUAAAGAUAAAGGUUCUAGCAGCCACCAAAAAAACAGAACCCAAAUUCCAUUUUUCUGCUGGUCCACACGUACUUCAAGCACACUAUUGGUAGAGUUUUCUUAAAAAUCUAAGUUUACUAUACUUCCUCAACUAGUUGAAUGGAUGCCGAAGCUGAUGUAGCUCAAAUUUUCUCUUAACUAAUAUAGUUAAUGAAUUUAAAGACGCGUGAUGGAAAGAAGGUAAGAAGGUUCAACCAGGCUCCAACCAUCUGCGUUGUUGGUAAUUGACACUGCAAAACGUAAAAAUUGAAGAAUCCAUUUCAUUCUUUACAGACUAUUAAUUAAAGCCUCCACUGGUUACAAAUGUUUUUGCUGAGAGGGGCUCCUUCAGCAAUUUUCCUACUCUUCUUUGAAAUCAAACCGAAUGCCUAAAACAAAAGCAUGGCCUAUCAAAUGCUCUAGAUGACACAUCAUAAUAAUUGCUGCGAAAACUGGAUUCCAAUGUGUUUCUAGUGUGUUGUAAGUAGUCAUGAACUUCACCAUAAAAUUGAAUUUGAAUUAAUGAGGUUGUUUUUAGCAUAAUUUUGAUGCAUGAACAAGGGAUUGAGUUCCAAGUUAAGUUUCUAUUCAUGCAUGCGAUUGACCAGGCUUCCCAUUUUGUUUUAUAAGCAAAUGACAAGGGAGUACAAGGGGUACCCAAUCCACUACAAAGAGAGUAAACUAACCACUUUGCUAGCAAAUCAAAGGGUUAGUAUACCAAUUAGAAAAAGUUCAACAAGAGUUUCUACAACAUUUGCCAAGGAAUCAAGUCCAAGAAACAAGUUUAAUAUUGUAGAUACAAAGAUUAAAAUCUGCUACAUCCUCUUUGAAUAAAAUCUGGUUCCUCAUAAUUCGUAGUGUCCAAGCUGUAGCAAUCCAAAUCAAUCCCCUUCUUCUUUUUGGUAUGUUUUUGCUCAAUGUUUUGUAGCACAUGUUGAAAUGUUCUACUCCAACCUCUGUAGCAAAUGUGGACAUGCCCAACCAUUCAAAGACAGCUGUUCAAAUAGAUUUCGCAAAUCUGUAGGUGGAACAAAGAUGGUGACAGGUUUCCUCUUCGUGAAAACAAAGAACACAAGCUUUAUAAUGUUGUCCAUCAAUAACACCAUGUUUAUGCAGCUCAUCUCUGAUGCGAAGCCUUGCAAUAAGUAGCCUCCAACAAUGAAGCAAAGCUUUUGAAGGUGUAUCAGAGUUCAUAAAAUAGAUAAAGCUCCUGUUAAAUAAAGGCAAAAUGCAUCGGGUAGUCUUUUAAAAUACAUGAAAAUAUUAAAUUGAUCGUUUUUUUUUGUA